rnacentral:rRNA from 1 species
UACAGAGGUCUCGAGCGUUAGGCGGAAUCACUGGGCUUAAAGCGUGUGUAGGUGGAUGCCUAAGUACCUUGUGAAAUCCCACGGCUCACCCGUGGAACCGCUGGGUAUACUGGACGUCUUGGGCCAUUCAGGGGCAACUGGAACAAGCGGUGGAGCGGUGAAAUGCGUAGAUAUCGCUUGGAACGCCGACGGUGAAAACAGGUUGCUGGGAAUGCGCCGACGCUGAGACACGAAAGCCAGGGGAGCAAACGGG